rnacentral:rRNA from 1 species
GAUGAACGCUGGCGGCGUGCCUAUUACAUGCAAGUCGAGCGGUAAGGCUCCUUCGGGAGUACACAAGCGGCGGACGGGUGAGUAAUACGUAGGAACGUACCCCAAAGUGAGGAAUAACCAGCCGAAAGGUUGGCUAAUACCGCAUAUGCUCUACGGAGUAAAGCAGCAAUGCGCUUUGGGAACGGCCUGCGUCCGAUUAGCUAGUUGGUAAGGUAAAGGCUUACCAAGGCGACGAUCGGUAGCUGUUCUGAGAGGAUGAUCAGCCACACUGGAACUGAGACACGGUCCAGACUCCUACGGGAGGCAGCAGUAGGGAAUUUUCCACAAUGGGCGAAAGCCUGAUGGAGCAACGCCGCGUGCAGGAUGAAGGCCUUAGGGUUGUAAACUGCUUUUAUCUGUGACGAUUAUGACAGUAGCAGAUGAAUAAGGAUCGGCUAACUCCGUGCCAGCCGCCGCCGUAA